rnacentral:rRNA from 1 species
AACGAACGCUGGCGGCAUGCCUAACACAUGCAAGUCGAACGAGGGCUUCGGCCCUAGUGGCGCACGGGUGAGUAACGCGUGGGAACCUGCCCUGUGGUACGGAAUAACUCCGGGAAACUGGAGCUAAUACCGUAUGUGUCUUGAGGGACAAAGAUUUAUCGCCAUGGGAUGGGCCCGCGUAGGAUUAGCUUGUUGGUGGGGUAACGGCCUACCAAGGCAACGAUCCUUAGCUGGUCUGAGAGGAUGAUCAGCCACACUGGGACUGAGACACGGCCCAGACUCCUACGGGAGGCAGCAGUGGGGAAUAUUGGACAAUGGGCGCAAGCCUGAUCCAGCAAUGCCGCGUGAGUGAUGAAGGCCUUCGGGUUGUAAAGCUCUUUCGCACGCGACGAUGAUGACGGUAGCGUGAGAAGAAGCCCCGGCUAACUUCGUGCCAGCCGCCGCAGUAAGAC